UAGGGAAUCUUGCGCAAUGGGCGAAAGCCUGACGCAGCCAUGCCGCGUGAAUGAUGAAGGUCUUAGGAUUGUAAAAUUCUUUCACCGGGGAAGAUAAUGACGGUACCCGGAGAAGAAGCCCCGGCUAACUUCGUGCCAGCAGCCGCGGUAAUACGAAGGGGGCUAGCGUUGUUCGGAUUUACUGGGCGUAAAGCGCACGUAGGCGGAUCGUUAAGUCGGGGGUGAAAUCCUGGAGCUCAACUCCAGAACUGCCUUCGAUACUGGCGAUCUUGAGUCCGGAAGAGGUGAGUGGAACUCCUAGUGUAGAGGUGGAAUUCGUAGAUAUUAGGAAGAACACCAGUGGCGAAAGCGGCUCACUGGUCCGGUACUGACGCUGAGGUGCGAAAGCGUGGGGAGCAAA
rnacentral:rRNA from 1 species